AUUGGAAGAAUUAUUCAUGGAAUUGUAAUCUAGAUUAUGGUCCAUUACAGCCUUAACUGAUUGCACCAAUUCCUCAUUGGAAGAACCUUCUGAGGACUUGAGUAGCUAUGAAAAGCAACAGUCUGGAGCACCUUGAAGAACGGUUUUGGUCUUACACUGGUUUGGUAGGUCACAUUUCCUGCUCAUAGCCUGGAUCUGACUGCCAGGAGAUGCCAGAUAAUGACUGGACAAGUCUCAAUUGAUGGUUUCUUACCCAACUUCUGCUCAGUUCAUUCCCAUUUGAUUUAUCUCAGAUCGGUACUCGCUGGAUGAACAUUACUCUCUGCCUAAUGAAACAAGAAAGGAACAAGUCAUGACC